UCUACCACAUUCUCUCACCCAAAAUCAGAUUUUUCUUCCUCCUUCUCCUAACAUCACGCUAUCUCCCUCUUUCUCAUGCUAUCCACCAAAAAUCAGCACUUCACCAUGGAAUCAUCAUGCUUAUGUGUUUUGCUUGAGUUAUGGAAGAAGUAGAACCUCUAAACAACUUGUUCUCUCAUUCUUCCUCUCCUAAGAAGUUCAUUCAAGUGAUCCUAGCAUGGUUUGAAGAAGUUAGAGCUAAGAUGGUGAUCAUGUAAAGAGAAUUGAAGUUUGUGUUGUAUUUUGAGCUAGAGGCAAGCUUGAGCAAGAUUAAGGCAAGACACCAAGAGCUAGGGUUUGGCUUGGCAAGAAGAUAGAGGCAGGGGCUGAAUGUUGAAACUGAAUGUAAGUAUAAGUGAUUAAUAGCUUAAAUUGAGGUAAAAGUGAUUAUUUUGAGAAGAAAUUUAAGUUAUGUUGAUUCAUUAGAAGUAUAAGCUGUUAUUUCAUUUGGCAUUCUGUGAUGACUCUGUUUUUGGGCUGUUAGUAGUAUCAAUUUUGCUGUUGUUGCUGUUCGGAAUGAAAAGCUAGCAGUUAAAAGUCAUAAGUUGUUCCAAAAGCUAUCAGAAUUGAUUAUUGAGUUAAAACAAGUUAGAAUUUCAAUAUAAGUGUCUUAGGAGAUGUGUAAACAUGUUUGCUUUGAUUCUGGAAAAUUUGAAUUGAAAUGGAAUUGUUUAAAGGUCAUAAGCUGUCAGUUAAGCUGUUGAUUAAGUUGCUGUAACAGUGGUUCAUAGAGAUGAUUAUACAUGUUGGAACUGUUUUGUUGAAGGUUGGGUCGAAAUUGAUAUGACAAAAGUCAUAAGUUGCUAUUUAAUUCGUUUGGAUAAUAGCUUAAAUUAGAAUUUAAGUUGUUUCAGGUAUUAUCUUGUGAAGACCAGCUUAGGAGAGAUAUGUUGAAUUGGUAUAUGAGUAAUGGAAAUAUUAUAAGCUGUUCUAGUAAUGGUAAUUAAGCUGUUUUAGAAGUACUGAAUUCUGGUGCAGGGACUGAAAUGGGAAUUUUUCUAUAUGCUGAUCGAUGAAAUAGGAGUAUGUCACAAGUGGCACUACUACACAUAUGUGUUUUAGUAACAUUCAUCUUGCAACACUUGUUUAAUAGUUACUAAUAUAGAGAUUUUUCUUAACAUUUUUUAGUAAGUGUUACAUUAGUGUCACUCUUUUUCGGUGGUGUUUAUAUCAAAACACAUUCAUAUUCUACUGAAACAAAAAAAACAAAAAACAUUUCAACUCUUUUAACACACACACACACUCUCUCUCUCUCUCUCUCUCGUCUUCGAGCUAACCAGAAGCAAACGUUCGAACAUGGCCGCAAAGCUAAAUGUGCGAUUACAAUCACAGGUUCCAUGUUAAUAAGAUGUCUUCAGCCCAUGUUUAUGCCGGGCUGCUCAUAGGUCACUAUCGAUGACAUGAGUGAAGGUUUAUUGGAAGAUUGUGCUCAACUUGUCAAAGAAAAUUCAAUUCAAGGUUUAGUUUUUAAUAAGAUAUUAAGCAGCGGACGGAAUAAUUUCCUCAUGAGUAUAUCUUCCCCACAGAGCAAAGCAUAGCACAUCAAGAGAAAAAAAGGCAGGGACAAGGUAAAAUUUGCUAGGUCAAUAACAAAAUGGUUUAAAGGGGACCUUAAUGGAGCACAAGAAUCUGCAAUUGGCUGCCGUUGUUAAGCUUUCAUUUGGUUAUCUCUACUUUGACAAUGAUUUCUUCACGUUUCCUUGUCUUUUUUGUGGAUUUAGUUUUCUCGUUCCUUUCUGACUCCCUGUGUUCGUAACUGGGGUUUUUUGUUGUGAAAUUUUCUCAGCUCUUGUUACAGCGGAUAUGAUAUACUGUGAUUUUAAAGCUGCAGCUAACCUUAAUAUUACGAACAUGCGGACCCUUGGAUUUUACGGUUCAUUUUCUUGCCUUGAAUGCACUUGUUCUGGAAAAUAGGUGUCCUUUGGCAUUGUAAUGUGUCAUUGUUUAGAAUUAUUAAACUAAAUAUUAGGAGAGCUUCAACAAUAUUUAUGAUUCUGUCCAUCUUUCUUGGAUAAUCAAGAGAUACACUUCUGUUUUGCAGAGGGCUAAAGUUUGGAUAUCUACAACGUUUGGAGAUACACUACUAUUCCAGAUAUAUCAAAGUCGUUCUUUACUUUUUAAGUUUUGGGCUUUGUUCUUAAGACAUGCUGCAGAUUGGAUUGUGAAUCUAUUUUUCUGUUCAAUAUUUCUGUUGAUUAUGAGUAUUUCUUGAUUUCUUAUUUUCCUGUUUGGUGCUCCAAGAGAGGUGAUCUAUUAAUGUUGAGUAUUCCUUCUGGUUAGUUUUGUCUCUUGAUGUUGUGGUUUGAUUUAGUUCUUGCUGGUGUUGGUCUUAGUGGUUGCUGUACUUAUUUUAAUGAUCAUCACAAAUAAUGAAUUGUUAGUUAAUUGUCAUUCUGAUUCUUGUCUGCAAAAUAUAGAAUUCUUCAGUUGUGGUUCAUUAUUAUUUUUAUUUUUAGGAUUUGUUUGCAAAACACUAGAAUUGAAAUGUUAUUCAUGUGACACCUUAAGAUUAGUGGCCACUAGCUAGGAAGACAUCCUCCACUGAAUCUAUGACCACCACCAAGUUCCUUUAAAUGUGUUCCCAGUGCCAUAUAUACUUUUCUAUCACUGUACAAUGUCUGAAUUGAUAUAUGAUUUGAAUUAUAAGAUUAUCUUUAUUAGAGUUAAACUCCUAUCAUGCUCAGAUACAAAAGCUCGUGUAAUUUGGGGAGUUUAUUCUAAUUGAGUUCUGUCUCCACUAUCUAUGAAGUCUUUGUUGAAUGCAAAUUCCCCUGCUGUUGUUUAUUCUAAUUGAAUUGUGAAUUCUAAGAUUAUCUCUAUUAGCUAUUACACUUGUUUUUCUUAGUAUCCUUGUUGAGCAUGGUAUCAACGUUGCAGCUUGGUAAGUUUCAAUUGAUAAUGAUUUUCAUGACAGAAUCGUCCUUUGCAUUAAAAUUGUUGCACAAUACUGGUGAUGAGAUAAGGAAGGGAUGUCUGCAAUCUUGCUGGCAGAACAUUAUGAAGAUGAUUGCGGAUAAGCAACGGCACAAGACAAAGGAGAUUAAAGAGAAGGCUUGCAUUUCUCAUGUGCAGCUUGAUGACCUUAAAGAGAAGGGGGGAAAUUGUGUUGGAUGAAAACUUAAUUGUAAUCAUUUUUGUAUGUAAUUCAAAUUGUGUUGUAUAGUUCAAAUUGUGUUGCAUAGUUUAUUUUCGUCAUGCAAGAAUAAGAACAGAGAAGAGGGGAACUUUUAUAGAGUAUGUAAUUCAAACUAGUUAUUAAAACUUGUAUCUAAUAUUGGUUAAUUCAAAUA